CCAAUAGCGUAUAUUAAAGUUGUUGCAGUUAAAAAGCUCGUAGUUGAAUUUCGGGAUCAGUACGUUGGUCAUGCCUUGGUAUGUACUGGUGUAACUGAUUCCUCCCUUCUGACGAACCGUCAUGCCAUUCACUUGGUGUGGCGGGAAAUCAGGACUGUUACUUUGAAAAAAUUAGAGUGUUUAAAGCAGGCUCGCGCUUGAAUACAUUAGCAUGGAAUAAUGAAAUAGGACGUUAAUCCUAUUUUGUUGGUUUCUAGGAUCGACGUAAUGAUUAAUAGGGAUAGUUGGGGGCAUUAGUAUUCAAUUGUCAGAGGUGAAAUUCUUGGAUUUAUUGAAGACUAACUACUGCGAAAGCAUUUGCCAAGGAUGUUUUCAUUAAUCAAGAACGAAAGUUAGAGGUUCGAAGGCGAUCAGAUACCGCCCUAGUUCUAACCAUAAACGAUGCCGACCGGCGAUCCGCUGUCGUUACUUGAAUGACUCAGCGGGCAGCCUCCG
rnacentral:misc_RNA from 1 species